UUCGUCGUGGCAGGGAAGGAGAGAGCGAGCUAGCCGCAAGCCGCAAUGCAGCACGCGCAGACGUUCUCCGCGCGCAGACGUUCCGCGUUUCGAUGAAUGUGCUCAUCCUGCUCCAUCCUGAAUUCUCGUGCAACCUGAGACGCUGACAUCGCAGCCUGAACCCAUUACAAUCGCUUCAUUCACUAUUUUACUCUUAAUACUGUUUACGUAAGAAAGCACCGCACAACAUACUCGCUCUUGGUAGUUUUGAAAAACUUUAAGAGUGUAAGUCGUGCCGCGCAACUAAAGAUAAAAAUUUAUGAAGAAAUACAAGAACUGCAGAAAAGAGGGUAUAUUCGGCUGUCGUCGCGAAGAGAGUUACGAAAGAAUGCAUUUUUUUUUUAUUUUUUUUUUUUAGAAAAAUUGCUUCAACUUGAAGCUCAGAAUCGACUACGUUUGUCGAGACAUUCACGUUGCAAAAAUAUCUCUUAUAUUCUUACGCGCUUGCGUACGUAAUGAGUGAUGGGACGCGUGCAACAAGCAAAAUUUUGGAGUCAUGAUGGAGAACAUAAGAAUUUCGAAGAUAAUAUAGGCGAUUGAUACUUAAUGUCAUUGAAUAGCGAUAGGACAAGUCGCGCACGACGACGAUGGCGACGAAAUGUCAGUCAAGGUCAAAGGUUGGUAUAGAUAGAUUGUGCGUAAAAUUUUAGGUAUUCAUCGAGGCGAUACCUAUGCGAAUGCGAGACGAUCGAUACUUGUAGAGUAAGGUACGUCCCAUGGAUAGAGAAUUUUUCUGUCGUGGAAGUGAAGCAGCACGUGGACUCACCUAGUUGUAAGGAUGAGAAUCGAUUUGUGUCGCGCGAGCGCCUGUUAUUAUCCACCCGAUGGUUGGAGUACGACUGAGAAAGAUUGCGCCAGCCGCCGUCGGAUGUCGGUUUCAAAGUUUGAUUGUGUGUUUAUCACGCGCGUGCGCUCUUACAGCUCUGUACAUGAGGGUACUCAACUUUACAUCAUUGAAGGUAGAACGGGUAGAGAUCAGCCGGUCGGCUUACGGCUUACGUCAUGUGACGUGACUAAAGGCUAGGGUCAAAGAACGUAAUACGUACGUCUGUAAAAUAUUAAGUACUAACAAGUUGACAAAUUUAUACACAAAAAAGUACAUAAUGUAAAAAUAUUAAACAAAAUAUAACAUAUCAAAACGAUGCAUACGUAAUAUAUAUUAUAAUUUAAUAGAUAUAUUUGUGACUCUAUUAUUAUUAUUAUUAUAAAAAUUUAUUAAAAAAUAACAGCAUUCAUCUCAUUGAUCGUGAACGUAAAAAA